rnacentral:rRNA from 1 species
AAAACAUUGUCUAUUUGAAUACCCAUAAUAGAUAAAUUCUGCUCAAUGUUAUUAUUAAUAAAUAGCUGCAUUUUUGUACUAAGGUAGCGUAAUAAUUUGUCUUUUAAUUGAAGAAUUGUAUGAAUGAAAUAACAAAAAAUAUGCUGUCUUUAUAUUAUUAUUAAAACUUAAUUUAAAAGUGAAAAAGCUUUUAUCAAAUAAAUAGACAAGAAGACCCUGUUGAGCUUUUUCUAUAAAUUAAACAUUAGAUUUUGUUGGGGCAACAUUUAUUUAAAAUACCAAUUUUUUUUUAUAUAGAAUAAAUUCAUAGUAUCCACCUUAUUUUAUAAAAUUUUAAUAAGUUACCACAGGGAUAACAGGCUAAUUUUUUUUUUAGAGUUCAAAUUAACAAAAAAGUUUGGCACCUCGAUGUUGGCUUAAAGUUUCUUUUAAAUGCAGCAAUUUAAAUAGUUGGUUUGUUCAACCAUUAAAACUUUACGUGAUCUGAGUUUCA